rnacentral:lncRNA from 1 species
ACGAUCAUUACGAGGGCUUGGAGGAGCCUGAUUUGGAUCUCGAUCCGGAUUUGGUUUUUAGGGCGAGGAAGUUUGGUAAAGUAUCUGGUGGAUUUAACGAGCGUGUUGUUGAUUAUGGGAACAAAUAUGAUCAGAAUUCAGUGUCUGUAGCGUUUAUGCCCAAGGAUUAUGGAAGAUUCGAUAGGAAAUUGGGGCUAAAAACAGUAACCUAGGGUUUGAUAAUAGUGACUAUGGAAGUGGUGGAUUCUCUAGGAAGAUGGGGCAAUUGCAGAGAGAUGAUAUGAUGAACGGUGUUAAUGAAGAAAGAGACCGGUUUGGGAAGAAAGUGGUCGAGGAAUGGGGGUAUGGCUCAUCGAGGAUUCGAGUGAAGAACCACAUCCAAGCUGAUCGAAAUGGGUUUGGGAGUGGUAACACGAAUGGUGUUGAUGGUGGAGGAGUUAGUAGCAAGGGUAAAGAUCCAGUUGCAGAAGUUGUGUCGGCGAUUAAGAUGCUGAGGGAAGGGUUUGUGAUGGUGGAAG